CUGCGCCGCGAAGCUCCCAAUUCAACCAGACAGAGCUUCUGUUUUUGUGUAUAAACUCGAAAUCCUCUUCAUCAACACAAUACACCACAUCCACACAAUACACCACAUCCUUCAUAUAGCCUAGUCGUUAUUAUCGUAAUGCAAUCUCUAGAUUGAGUGUGUGUAUGUGCGUGUGUGUACGUGUGAGAUAGAGUGCCCGUGUGUUUGCUUGAAUGUGCUGUUUCUGUAUCACGUACAUGUGUGUGUUUAGAGUGAGCUGAUUCAGUGUCAGUGUGUGGACAUGAGUUAGACAGGUAGAUCAGUAUGAUAAAAUGGGCGCGCGCACUCUCGGACAAACGAGCGAAGUAUCGUAAUGGGUUCAGCAGGUGGAGCCCUAAUUCAGUAAACUGGUUCAGUUUACUGUUCCUGAAAUGAGAUGAACGUGAGAUUGACAGAGCCGCUCAAAAACAGCUCCGCUUCAAGUUAGCUUCAACAAUGCGAUAGUUAGACAGAUGAAGUCAACAAGUCUCGCUUACUUUUUAGUCUUGUCUUCAAUUAUAGACGCGCAUCGCUGAGGCGUGUGUCAGUGUUUGUGUGAGAGAGAAGUUAACCAUCUUUUUUAGAGUUGUCAAGAUAUUUCAUUUGCCUGUAUCAACAACCUUUUUGUCAAGUGUGCUGUUGGACCAUUCAAGAGGAACACAUGAAUCGCAAAAUUGGUGCACAUGUUGCUCACUUGUUGCAUUUUAUUCGCUAAUUAAUAUCAGUGUGGAAGACUUCAUUCGUCAAGAUGGUAGAAAACGGAUCGCAAAAGUGUCAAAUAGCCUAGUGACUGAGGUAGGUUACUUAUUAUUUUGUCCACUCUUGUAUUUUGUACAAUUUGAAUUUGCAAUAUCAUCUUGAAUCCUUGGUUUACAUUUUAAUGGAAGAAUUGGGGCGAUGUUUUAGCGCGUGUGAAAUGUCAACGAGCUUUUGCAUUUACACACGUUGUUGAUAAUGCAUGUAUACCUGUUGCGUUGUCUUGUGCUUCAGAAUUAACUCGAAAGUGAUGAUGCACCUCAAAACGCGCUCAGUGCUGAAUGUUGUAAAAUUCAUGAUUGUUUUUCCUUACAUAACAGAUGGACCUAUAGAAUCUGGAACUGAAAUAGAGACAGAUGGACCUGAAAUAAGUUUUUCGACAGUGACAGUGGAUGUGCAAGUUCCUUGCUAGGCUUCGUCAC
rnacentral:lncRNA from 1 species